AGCAUUCCACAAACCUGCUUGCCAACUGCUCAAAGAGGUGAUCAACUCUGCAAGACACUGCAUCUGGCACAGUACCUACAGUGAUGCUACAAUCUUAAGCCGUAUCCACACACAAGGAUCCCAUUAGUGACUAUGGUAGACAUAGAGUACUUGUACAGCACUGAGCAAGCAGAACUGAUCCUACUAUCAAAAGACACCCACAGACCUGCUGGAUAACCUCAACAAUCCAAACAGAACAGUUUAGGGCAAGGCGUGAACAAUAUGUAUAUAAGCAAAUCUGCAUGAAACACAGGACAGUUUUCCAUUGAGAAGGAAUCUGAAAAUAGAAUAGUAAAAGGUACACCUGUUUUCAAGCAAAGACACAUUGAAAGUUGAGCCAGAGCGUAUCAACCAGAAUAUCUUCUUUCACUAAAAUUUCCCACAAAAU